UACGGGGGGGGCAAGCGUUGUUCGGAAUUACUGGGCGUAAAGGGCUCGUAGGCGGCCAACUAAGUCGGAUGUGAAAUCCCCAGGCUUAACCUGGGGACUGCAUCCGAUACUGGAUGGCUUGAAUUCGGGAGAGGGAUGCAGAAUUCCAGGUGUAGCGGUGAAAUGCGUAGAUAUCUGGAGGAAUACCGGUGGCGAAGGCGGCAUCCUGGACCGACAUUGACGCUGAGGAGCGAAAGCGUGGGGAGCGAACAGG
rnacentral:rRNA from 1 species